rnacentral:rRNA from 1 species
CAGUAGCCGCGGGAAAACGAAGGGGGCUAGCGUUGUUCGGAAUUACUGGGCGUAAAGCGCACGUAGGCGGAUCGAUCAGUCAGGGGUGAAAUCCCAGGGCUCAACCCUGGAACUGCCUUUGAUACUGUCGAUCUGGAGUAUGGAAGAGGUGAGUGGAAUUCCGAGUGUAGAGGUGAAAUUCGUAGAUAUUCGGAGGAACACCAGUGGCGAAGGCGGCUCACUGGUCCAUUACUGACGCUGAGGUGCGAAAGCGUGGGGAGCAAACAGGAUUAGAUACCCGGUAGUCCCUGUCUCUUAUACA